AUGCAUAUUUUCUCAAUUGUAACUCGAAUGAAAUCGAAACAGCAUAACGUUUAUAACUCAAUCAAGCCAUUUUCUCUAAAUUAUCAACAACAUAGUAGUAAAGGGGUUGAAAGAUACCGAAAAGCUGAAAUCGGAAACAGUGGAAUAUCGGAGACAAAUCGCAUGCUGAACAGAAGCUGUAUGAAUGCUGUUGUGAUGGAGAGAGAUGCGAUGGCUAGAGCUUGCGGAAUCAGAGGCCAGAAGAAGAACACAGGGAGUCUGGCUUGGAUUUGA